AUAAAAAGAAAGACUGGGAAUGUCUUAUUUUAUUAAUCACUUAUCAAGCAAGAGAGAGUACAGCUGCUUGGUUUAAGUAAUACAGGGCACGAUGCCACAGACCCUUCCAGGUGAUGAUCUGAACUGCAAAGAUGGUCCAGCUUUCCCCCUGCCUGUCCAGCACUGAGUAGGGCCACAAGCUCCCUCCUCACCCUGGGGCAGCCGGAAGUUGUCCAGGGGCUUCUGGGUGUGGUGCAGAGGGUCGGGUUUCAGCUGUCAAUCGUGUUGAUGCUGCCUUUCAACCUGGCAGGCCUUAGUCUUGGGUUUUGAGGCUUCCCUUGCACUUGCCCAUCUGCUUUGCUCACCCAUCGUUCUCCUCAACUUCUCAAGGGCCUCUUAUCACUAACAGCUGAUACACCGAUAGAUGAUGAACAGGCAGGUUUAAUUAAUCCUGGGGCAGUUCACAGCUCACUG
rnacentral:lncRNA from 1 species